rnacentral:rRNA from 1 species
GUGGGGAAUAUUGGACAAUGGAGGAAACUCUGAUCCAGCCAUGCCGCGUGAGUGAUGAAGGCCUUCGGGUUGUAAAGCUCUUUCGGGUGUGAAAAUGAUGAUGGUAACACCAGAAGAAGCCCCGGCUAACUCCGUGCCAGCAGCCGCGGUAAUACGGAGGGGGCGAGCGUUGUUCGGAAUCACUGGGCGUAAAGCGUGCGUAGGCGGUUAUACAAGUCAGGAGUGAAAUCCCAGGGCUCAACCUUGGAAUUGCUUUUGAGACUGUAUGACUAGAGAUCUAGAGAGGUUGGGGGAAUUCCGAGUGUAGAGGUGAAAUUCGCAGAUAUUCGGAGGAACACCAGUGGCGUAGGCGCCCAACUGGCUAGAUACUGACGCUGAGGCACGAAAGCGUGGGGAGCAAACAGGAUUAGAAACCCUAGUAGUCC